rnacentral:tRNA from 1 species
GCUGGAAUAGCUCAGUUAGCCAGAGCGUGUGGCUGUUAACCAAGGUCGGAGGUUCAAGCCCUCCUAGCG